UAACUAAAUCGACUCGUAUGUUUGGUACUAUCAAGUAAGAAAGCAAAUGGAAGGCAGGUAGUUGGUUGUGUUG